GUCGACACUGAAGCAUGUAUCAUUUAUAUGAUAUUUUGUUUUUUAUUCGUGGCAAUUCCAACGGCCAAUUAUAUGCAUUACAUCCGAAGAUUCAUUGAAUUUAUGUGUGUAUUUUUAAUGGCAACAUAUGUAGUAUACAUUUUGUUAUUUUUUAAAGCGGAUGUAGAUGAAGUAACGUUAGUUAAUGGAGAUUGGGUAGAUAUUUUUCAAGGCCUAGUUGUAAUAUUGUUCGCGUAUACAUCAUUGCCUAAAAUUUUGAAAGCUGAAAAUGAACUUAAAACUCCAGAGCUGUUCUCGAAUCCCAAAGUUCUCAACGUAUUAAAAGUUUCCAUAUUCACAAUUACUAAUAUGUUCAUUGUAAUCGGUGCCUGUGGUUACUUGGCUUUUUUCAAAACGUCAAAGCUCAGUUUUUGUCUGUUGACCGCUUUACCGGAACAUGGGUUCCUCAAGUACUUCAUGGCCAUGUACUCAUUUUACAUAGCUUGUAUGCAUCAAGAUGUCUUACAUGAAUCAAUUUUAUUGUUUUGGACACCACCUCCGAAAUGUUAAAGAAAUAUGGCCGAUGAACUUUAUUGGCUAUUUAAAUUGCACGUGGGAAUGAUCUGCGUGUCUGUAUUAGGUUCUUGGUUAAUGGACAAAUGUCUGGGACAAAUGAUGGCAUUGUUAGGUUGCAUGAGUAUUUGGAACUUUAUGGUUUUUCCAUAUUUGGUCGAAUUUUGCAUAGUACACGGGAUUGACGGAAUAGCCACGAAAAAAAUUAUAAUUUUCAAAGAUGUACUUAUGAUGGUCUUGGGAGUUUCAAUUUUCGGUGCUGGAAUGGUAGCCGCUAUAAUUAACUUUAGUUAUUGUGAAUAAU